rnacentral:rRNA from 1 species
GACGAACGCUGGCGGCGUGCCUAACACAUGCAAGUCGAACGGAGUUAAGGAGCUUGCUCCUUAACUUAGUGGCGAACGGGUGAGUAACGCGUGAGGAACCUGCCUUUCAGAGGGGGACAACAGUUGGAAACGACUGCUAAUACCGCAUAACGCGUAGAGGUCGCAUGGCCUUUACGCCAAAGAUUUAUCGCUGAAAGAUGGCCUCGCGUCUGAUUAGCUAGUUGGUGAGGUAACGGCCCACCAAGGCGACGAUCAGUAGCCGAACUGAGAGGUUGAUCGGCCACAUUGGGACUGAGACACGGCCCAGACUCCUACGGGAGGCAGCAGUGGGGAAUAUUGCGCAAUGGGGGAAAUCCUGACCCAGCGACGCCGCGUGAGGGAAGAAGGUCUUCGGAUUGUAAACCUUUGUUAACAGGGACGAAAAAAAUGACGGUACCUGAAUAGAAAGCCACGGCUAACUACGUG